UCACUACUCCCUCCGUUCCAUAAUUCUUGUCGAAAUAUUACAUGUAUGUAGACAUUUUUUAGGAAUAGAUACAUCCAUUUUAAGGCAAAUUUGAGACAAGAAUUAUGAAACGGAGGGAGUACUAU
rfam:Brachypodium distachyon strain Bd21 chromosome 5, whole genome shotgun sequence.